rnacentral:rRNA from 1 species
AUUGAACGCUGGCGGCAUGCCUAACACAUGCAAGUCGAGCGGAUGAGGGGAGCUUGCUCCUGGAUUCAUCGGCGGACGGGUGAGUAAUGCCUAGGAAUCUGCCUUGUAGUGGGGGAUAACGUCCGGAAACGGGCGCUAAUACCGCAUACGUCCUGAUGUAGAAAGUGGGUGAUCUUCGGACCUCACGCUAUCAGAUGAGCCUAGGUCGGAUUAGCUAGUUGGUGGGGUAAAGGCCUACCAAGGCGACGAUCCGUAACUGGUCUGAGAGCAUGAUCAGUCACACUGGAACUGAGACACGGUCCAGACUCCUGCGGGAGGCCGCAGUGGGGAAUAUUGGACAAUGGGCGAAAGGCUGAUCCAGCAAUGCCGCGUGUGUGAAGAAGGUCUUCGGCUUGUAAAGCACUUUAAGUUGGGAGGAAGGGCAGUAAGUUAAUACCUUGCUGUUUUGACGUUACCAACAGAAUAAGCACCGGCUAACUUCGUG